GAUGAAGAACGCAGUGAAAUGCGAUAAGUAAUGUGAAUUGCAGAAUUCAGUGAAUCAUCGAAACUUUGAACGCACAUUGCGCCCGCCAGUACUCUGGCGGGCAUGCCUGUUCGAGCGUCAUUUCAACCCUCGGGCCCCGCAUUCGUGCGGCCCCGGCGUUGGGGACCGGCCUCCGCAUCGGACGGCCGCCCCCGAAACCCAGUGGCGGUCCCGCCGCGGCCUUCUCUGCGUAGUAGCAUACACCUCGCACUGGAGAGCGGCGCGGCCACGCCGUAAAAGAAACGAACUUUCUGAAGGUUGACCUCGGAUCAGGUAGGAAUACCCGCUGAACUUAAGCAUAUCAAUAAGCGGAGGA
rnacentral:misc_RNA from 1 species